rnacentral:rRNA from 1 species
GAUGAACGCUAGCGGGAGGCCUAACACAUGCAAGCCGAGCGGUAUUAUUUCUUCGGAAAUGAGAGAGCGGCGUACGGGUGCGGAACACGUGUGCAACCUGCCUUUAUCUGGGGGAUAACCUUUCGAAAGGAAGAUUAACACUCCAUAAUAUAUUGUACGGCAUCGUUUAAUAUGUAAAGCUCCGUCGGAGAGAGAUGGGGACGCGCAAGAUUAGCUAUUUGGUUGGGUAACGGCUCACCAAGGCGAUGAUCUUUAGGGGGCCUGGGAGGGUGGUCCCCCACACUGGUACUGAGACACGGACCAGACUCCUACGGGAGGCAGCAGUGAGGAAUAUUGGUCAAUGGGUGCAAGCCUGAACCAGCCAUCCCGCGUGAAGGACGACUGCCCUAUGGGUUGUAAACUUCUUUUGUAUAGGGAUAAACCUACUCUCGUGAGGGUAGCUGAAGGUACUAUACGAAUAAGCACCGGCUAACUCCGUGCCAGCCGCCGCGGUAACAC